AGAUCCUUGGCCAAACAACGCGGAUUGCAGUUCAUUUCAAAGGUUUUGGUAUCAGGAUGAUGCUGGCAUCAUAAAAUGAGUAUUUUUCUUCAGACUUCAGACUGCUGUGCUGGAAGCAAGAAUUUCAAGCAUUGGAUCUUAGCUUGCUGGGCUCCAUAGGGGUGGGAUCCACUGAGCUAGACCACUUGGCUCCCUGGCUUCAGCCCCCUUCCAGAUGUCCUUGGCGUGUACACCCUGUGGAAUCUGGUUCAUCUUCAAUCUGUCAGAAGGCAUCAGAGGUGGUUUUGACUCCUUAUGUCUUGGACCUGUGCACAAAAAGUACGGGCAGGAGAGGAUGCAGGAGACUGUACAAAGUUCAAGAAACGAUAUGCUUUAAUCAAGGUAAAAUGGAUGGAACAUCAGACAGCUCAUUAUAGAGACAAGUAAGCUCCAGUUCCAAAGUUGGUUGACAGAACAAGUCAUGACCUUGUGUGGAGGAAAAUGAGAUCCCGAGUGAAGUCUACAAUGUCAUUGACUCUGAAGAAGGACUCAGAGACCCAUUGGUGUUUAAUGACCCUUACUGGCCUAUGCAAUGGAAACUGAUCUUGAGUGUGCCUUAAAAUUCCAUUUCAUGGAGAACUGUGCGUGGUUGAAUUUUGAUUGAUUACUCAAUUAACUGAUGUAUUGGUAGAGUGAUUAAGAAAGAAGACUUUGGGAUCAGACCAACCUGGUUUUGAAUUCAAGCUCAGCAACUUACUAGGUAAGGAGGAGAAAAGAAAGAAGGAAAAAUUGGAAAGAUAAAUGGGGUCUUUCCAGUGAAGCUGCAGUUAUGGCAUUAACCACCCAGUUGUUACCUAC
rnacentral:lncRNA from 10 species